UUGCUGUGAUGACCAUCUUAGGACACCUUUGGAUUACCCAUGAAAAGAAACUCUGUUCUGAGCAAC
rnacentral:snoRNA from 1 species